rfam:Felis catus isolate Cinnamon breed Abyssinian chromosome B4, whole genome shotgun sequence.
ACCUGGGUGGCUCAGUCGGUUGAGCCUCUGACUUCAGCUCAGGUCAUGAUCUCACAGUUCGUGGGUUCGAGCCCCGCGUCAGGCU